AACGAACGCUGGCGGCAGGCUUAACACAUGCAAGUCGAACGCCCCGCAAGGGGAGUGGCAGACGGGUGAGUAACGCGUGGGAAUCUACCGUGCCCUGCGGAAUAGCUCUGGGAAACUGGAAUUAAUACCGCAUACGCCCUACGGGGAAAGAUUUAUCGGGGUAUGAUGAGCCCGCGUAGGAUUAGCUAGUUGGUGGGGUA
rnacentral:rRNA from 1 species